GACGAACGCUGGCGGCGUGCUUAACACAUGCAAGUCGAACGGAAAGGCCUGCUUUCCCUUGUGGAUUGCGGGUCCUCGGGUGGCGAACGGGUGAGUAACACGUGAGUGAUCUGCUCCCAACUUGGGUAUAAGCCUGGGAAACUGGGUCUAAUUACCGGACGUACUGCAGGAUGGAGCCUGUGUUGGGAAACGGCUUUCUAGUGGUUGGGGAUGAGGUCGCGGCCUAUUAGCUUGUUGGAGGGGUACUGGCCCACCAAGGCGGGGACGGGGAGCCAGACUGAGAGGGGGGACGGCGGAACUGGGACUGAGAUACGGCCCCGACGGCUGGCAGAGGCGGCAGUUGUGAGAAUAGGACAAUGAGCGGAAGCCAGAUGUAGCGAGUCCGUGAGGGGGAUGACGGCCUUGUGGUGGUAAACUGCUUUCGACCGAGAGGAAGACGCCUGGAUGGAAGGGUGGUGACGGUAGUGGUAGAAUAAGCACCGGCUAACUACGUG
rnacentral:rRNA from 1 species